rnacentral:rRNA from 1 species
AAACAUUGCUUUAUGUUUUUUUAUAAGGUUAACCCUGCUCAAUGGUAUAUCUAAAUAGCCGCAGUACUUUGACUGUGCAAAGGUAGCAUAAUCAUUUGGCUUAUAAUUGAAGUCUGGAAUGAAUGGGAGUAUGGGUAGUUACUGUCUUACCAUAAGUAAAUGAAUUUACUAAUUAAGUGAAAAUUCUUAUAAUAACAUAAUAGACGAGAAGACCCUAGAAAUUUUAUAUAUUUAUGUGGUUACAUAGGCUAUUUUGUUGGGGCGACAGAGCAACAAUUAACUUGUUUAUUAUUAUUUGACCUUAUUGAAAAGUGUAACUAAAUUACUCUAGGGAUAACAGCAUAAUACAAAAGAGUUUGUGACCUCGAUGUUGGACUAGGAAUAUUAUUGUUUAGAAGAUAAUAAUAAUAGCUCUGUUCGAGCUAAAAAUUCCUACGUGAUC